rnacentral:tRNA from 1 species
GGUUACGUACUUUAUUCCAAAACACUUAAUUUGCACCUAAGACUAGGGCUUCAUGCCCCGCAACCA